rnacentral:rRNA from 1 species
UAUGUGAUCGUCUCUCGCAUAUCAAUAAGCGGAGGAAAAGAAACUAACAAGGAUUCCCCUAGUAACGGCGAGUGAAGCGGGAGGAGCUCAAAUUUGAAAUCUUAAAGGGUUUCCCUUUACGAAUUGUAGUUUAAAGAAGUGUUUUCUGUUGAGGUUUUGGUAAAAGUUCUUUGGAAUAGGACAUCAUAGAGGGUGAGAAUCCCGUAUUUGACCUUUACUUUCAACCUUGUGAUACACUUUCAAAGAGUCGGAUCGUUUGGGAAUGCAGUCCAAAAUGGGUGGUAAAUUUCAUCUAAAGCUAAAUAUUGGCGAGAGACCGAUAGCGAACAAGUACCGUGAGGGAAAGAUGAAAAGAACUUUGAAAAGAGAGUUAAACAGUACGUGAAAUUGUCAAAAGGGAAGCGUUUGACACCAGUGUUGUUUUUCUGAAAAUCAAUUAAAGAACUGUUUAUGCUAAGUUGUUUAGACUUUAUCAGCUAAUCUGCUUAGUUUUGAGCUUUUCUUUAAUGCACUUUUCAGUUAACAAGUCAACAUCAAUUUCUUUUGCUGUAAAAAAGCUUGAGGAAGGUGGCUUGAGAUUCGUCUUAAGUGUUUAUAGCCUCUCGCCUAUGCAGUCGGAGAGAUUGAGGUCUGCAGCGUAGAUCCUUCGGGGCUAAAUGCAUUUGUGCUAAGUUAUAGCAUUUUAUAGACAACUUGUUGACUAUGAUUUGUCUUGUAGCUUACUCGCUUAUGUUAUUUUACCUACGCUUAGGAUGUUGAGUAGCGACAUACGCAC